rnacentral:rRNA from 1 species
UACAGAGGCCUCGAGCGUUAGGCGGAAUCACUGGGCUUAAAGCGUGUGUAGGCGGAUGCCUAAGUACCUUGUGAAAUCCCACGGCUCACCCGUGGAACGGCUCGGUAUACUGGGUGUCUUGAGCCACCUAGGGGCUACCGGAACAAAUGGUGGAGCGGUGAAAUGCGUAGAUAUCAGGAGGAACACCGGUGGCGAAGGCGGUUCUCUGGGCAUUACCUGACGCUGAGGAGCGAAAGUGUGGGGAGCGAACAGG